UACGAAGGGGGCUAGCGUUGCUCGGAAUCACUGGGCGUAAAGCGCACGUAGGCGGAUCUUUAAGUCAGGGGUGAAAUCCCAAGGCUCAACCUUGGAACUGCCUUUGAUACUGGGGAUCUCGAGUCCGGAAGAGGUUGGUGGAACUGCGAGUGUAGAGGUGAAAUUCGUAGAUAUUCGCAAGAACACCAGUGGCGAAGGCGGCCAACUGGUCCGGU
rnacentral:rRNA from 1 species